rnacentral:rRNA from 1 species
GCGACAGGCUUAACACAUGCAAGUCGAGGGGCAGCGGGGGUAGCGAUACCCGCCGGCGACCGGCGCACGGGUGAGUAACGCGUAUGCAACUUGCCUAUCAGAGGGGGAUAACCCGGCGAAAGUCGGACUAAUACCGCAUGAAGCAGGGGCCCCGCAUGGGGAUAUUUGCUAAAGAUUCAUCGCUGAUAGAUAGGCAUGCGUUCCAUUAGGCAGUUGGCGGGGUAACGGCCCACCAAACCGACGAUGGAUAGGGGUUCUGAGAGGAAGGUCCCCCACAUUGGUACUGAGACACGGACCAAACUCCUACGGGAGGCAGCAGUGAGGGAUAUUGGUCAAUGGCCGAGAGGCUGAACCAGCCAAGUCGCGUGAGGGAUGAAGGUUCUAUGGAUCGUAAACCUCUUUUAUAAGGGAAUAAAGUGCGGGACGUGUCCCGUUUUGUAUGUACCUUAUGAAUAAGGAUCGGCUAACUCCGUGCCAGCAGCCGCGGUAAUACGGAGGAUCCGAGCGUUAUCCGGAUUUAUUGGGUUUAAAGGGUGCGUAGGCGGCCUUUUAAGUCAGCGGUGAAAGUCUGUGGCUCAACCAUAGAAUUGCCGUUGAAACUGGGGGGCUUGAGUAUGUUUGAGGCAGGCGGAAUGCGUGGUGUAGCGGUGAAAUGCAUAGAUAUCACGCAGAACCCCGAUUGCGAAGGCAGCCUGCCAAGCCAUUACUGACGCUGAUGCACGAAAGCGUGGGGAUCAAACAGGAUUAGAUACCCUGGUAGUCCAUGCAGUAAACGAUGAUCACUAGCUGUUUGCGAUACACUGUAAGCGGCACAGCGAAAGCGUUAAGUGAUCCACCUGGGGAGUACGCCGGCAACGGUGAAACUCAAAGGAAUUGACGGGGGCCCGCACAAGCGGAGGAACAUGUGGUUUAAUUCGAUGAUACGCGAGGAACCUUACCCGGGUUUGAACGCAUUCGGACCGAGGUGGAAACACCUUUUCUAGCAAUAGCCGUUUGCGAGGUGCUGCAUGGUUGUCGUCAGCUCGUGCCGUGAGGUGUCGGCUUAAGUGCCAUAACGAGCGCAACCCUUGCCACUAGUUACUAACAGGUAAAGCUGAGGACUCUGGUGGGACUGCCAGCGUAAGCUGCGAGGAAGGCGGGGAUGACGUCAAAUCAGCACGGCCCUUACAUCCGGGGCGACACACGUGUUACAAUGGCGUGGACAAAGGGAGGCCACCUGGCGACAGGGAGCGAAUCCCCAAACCACGUCUCAGUUCGGAUCGGAGUCUGCAACCCGACUCCGUGAAGCUGGAUUCGCUAGUAAUCGCGCAUCAGCCAUGGCGCGGUGAAUACGUUCCCGGGCCUUGUACACACCGCCCGUCAAGCCAUGGGAGCCGGGGGUACCUGAAGUCCGUAACCGAAAGGAUCGGCCUAGGGUAAAACUGGUGACUGGGGCUAAGA